GGGAUGUGGUUAUGUGAUAGAUGUAUUGCACAACUGGUCUCUGAGGCAGCUCACAGUCACACUGUCAUAAAGAGGUUGAGCUUGGAGAUGGAGGGAAUGGUGGCUUCAAAUGAGGAUGAGCUGGAUUUCUCAGAGUACGAUGAGGAUGCUGAUGUAGUGAAGAUGGCCAGAGGUGGUGAAUUUGAUCAGGCAUCUGAAGUCUCUGUAGAUGAAUGGCCCCAAAUUGAAGAAGUGAAGAAAAUGUUGGAGGAUGAACCAGUUGAGGGACCCUGAGGGUUCAAACUGUUAUAAACACAGGCUGUGGUUGUUUAAUAAACAUUGGCUCAAGAUGUUCUGUGCUGUCACGUUUUUUCAGAAUAAUGAAUUAUUAUUCUUUCUAAAGUAUGUGUGCUGGUAGUAGUAAUAGCAGUCACUAUGGAAGCCCAUAGUAAAAGGAAAAAAAAAUCAAACAAGAUGAAAACUUAGCCUUGUGAUAAAAAAAAGUAAUUAUAAUACCAAACAUUCUCAGAAUAUUUGAGUUAGUAUCUCAAAAUACUGAGUUAGUAUGUCAGAAUAAUGAGUUAGUAUCUCAUAAAUAAUGAGUUAGUAUCUCAAAAUAAUGAAUUAGUAUCUCAGAAUAGUGACUUAGUAUCUCAGAAUAAUGACUUAGUAUCUCAGAAUAAUGACUUAGUAUCUCAGAAUAAUGAGUUAGUAUCUCAGAAUAAUGAG
rnacentral:lncRNA from 1 species